ACUUGUUCUCAGGGCGGGGUGGAAGUCCCCACCGGCGGUGAUCUGGUUCGCCAGAGAGCCCGCGAGCGCCCCUCCGGGUGGAGGGGGUCAAGCAGACCCGGUGCGAUUCCGGGGCCGACGGUAACAGUCCGGAUGAAAGAGAAUAAGG
rnacentral:ncRNA from 1 species